rnacentral:tRNA from 1 species
GGGGCCGUGGCCUAGCCUGGUUUAUGGCGCCUCCCUGUCACGGAGGAGAUCGCGAGUUCAAAUCUCGUCGGCCCCG